UUACUCUGGUUUCCCUUCAAAACGCAUAAAUCUUUCGCCUUUUACUAAAGAUUUCCGUGGAGGGGAACACUCAAAUGAGUCUUUGAAGUUUUUGAAAAGCUCUACUUCGGAAGAACUU